UGGCUCAGUUGGUAGAGCAUGGUGUUUGCAACACCAGGGUUGUGGCUUCAAUUCCCAC
rfam:Salmo salar isolate Sally breed double haploid chromosome ssa18, whole genome shotgun sequence.